rnacentral:lncRNA from 1 species
AGAAAGCAAGAGAGAAAAGAAAGAGAGAGAGCACAUGCAAAAGAAGGAAGGGAAAUAGGAUCAAGGUCAUCAUCUUUAAUCGCCUAGAAGAGAAGUACAAAGGUAAGCCAUGAAAACUAACUUCUAGUUCAUCAUUUAAAGUUUUUUAUUAUGCUUAGUUGUUGGUGGUUGUUGAUUUUUUAUGGAAGAUCAUGAAGGAUCUUGGAGAAAUAAGGAUAUGUGUGGUUUAAACAUCUUAAAUUACUUGUUAAAUUACAUGAAAAGUGGAAUCAAAAAUGAAAAUACGAACUAAUGAAAUACAAGAACGGACUAAUAGUGAACUGAUAAAAUUUAUGGCCUUUUAAAGUAGCUUAUGAAAUAUAAAAAUUAAGUUCGGGUGACAUGUUAUACUCUUAUAAGUCAUGAACAUCACCCAAUUGGAACAAAAGUAAAAGAUUUUGUAGCGAAGCCAUGCCGAAUUGUUAAUUAGUAAAACUAGUUAAAAACGAAAUUAAUGUAACCCCUGACCCUUGAGCAGUUUUCUAUUUCAAAUGGUUUGCUAGAAUUUUUUUCUUUUUAGGGGUUAUGUAGUAAGUUAAGUAACGAGUCCAUGGACGUAAGAAUGAUCUCAUUCCGAGUCCAGAGGUGGGAGAUAUGCCCUUCGGAAGGAGACUAGUUAAAAUUGCUAAAACUGGAAAACUGUUUCAGGUAGAGACUUUUGUGCUGUUGUUUUGGCCUGAGAAUGAACUUGGAAAAAAUUUUCAUCCGGGAGAAUUUGUAUUAGAUGUAACAAGGAAGAAAAUGAUGUGAGAACGAACUCAUUCCUACAAUGGAGGGUCAAGUUCUGACGUUGCAAAGUGGGUACGUCAAUAAGGAGGAAAAACCACUUGUUUCAUUUUCAUCCAGAGACUUUUGAACUGAUGUAGAAGGGCUAAAACAGAUAGGUUAAGCUGUCUAGAUUGACAGACAUGGAGUUUAAAGCUAAAGCAGACACUCCGCGUCGCUAGUAACCUAUCUGGAUUGACAACGAGGGAGUUUACAACUAAAACAGACAGGUUAUAAGCUGUCAGCUUUAUACCUAUAACGAAAAAUGAAAAAUUAAAGUUAGGCACAUUGAUUAAAUCAUCAAAAGGGAACACUAAGAACUAAGAAUCUAAAGUUAAUGUAAGUCAUAAUUAGCAUCAAUAUAUGUCUAAUUGGUAUGUGUAUAUGAGCUUAAAUAGUGUUUCAAGUUUAAUGAAACGAACAUUAUAAAAUAUGGAAUAGGGUUAAAAAACCAUGUGUGACGUUUGUAAUUGGCUAAUUGGGAUGUCUAUGUGCACUAAAUGUGUAAGACUUUCAAAGGGCGAUUAACGUCAAAGUAUUGAAGACGCUAGAGGCAAGUUGUAGCAACCCGACUUUUCAGGUAAUAUUAAAAUAAGAAUUAAAUAAAUAAAAUUCUUAUUAAGUGAGAUGUUAUGUGAUAUUGUAUUUCAUUAGUGAAUACGUGCUAUGCAAUAUGUGAAUAAGUAAAUAAAGUGUUUAAAACAAUUUAUGGAAGAUAAGGAAAUAAAUUUAAGUAUACUAACAUAAUUGUAUACAUUAAAUUUGUAAAUUGAAAUAAUUUAUAAUAUUAAAUUAUUUUAAUGUCGUAAAUUGAUGGCAUUAAAUAUAUUUAAUGUAUCACCUCCAUUCUUAUUGAAGAAACUAUGUAAUACACUAUAUAUUGGUGUAAUAUAUGUAUGCUUUUAAUGUAGUAAAUAUAUUAAUUAUUAUGUUCACUACAGUUAAUUGAUUGAAAAUAUUAAAUAAGUAAAUUGUUUGAAAAUAAUUUAUGGAGAGAAUGAGGAAAUUAAAUUUAAUUAUACAAUAUAGAUUAUAUAAUUUAAAUAAGUUAUUUAAAUUAGGCAAUGGAGUAAAUGUUAAUUAUUUAAAUAGUUAAUUCGUUACACUAAAAAUCUUAACUUUAUUAUGGAUUAAUCCCAUAAUUAGUGGUGUGAUUUUAUACAUAUUAUAAAUGUAUACUUUUAUUGGUAUGAAUAUAAUUUAAUACAUGUAUUAAAUUAUUUAAUUACAUGUAUUGAUAUUAUGCAUAUAAUAGUUAGUGUAUAUGUAUAUAUGUAAUAUAUGUGUGUGUGUAUAUAUAACAUACAUCUCUUAAAUAGAAUAUUUUUAUUAAAACUACAUCAUUUUGAUGGUUCUUUUAAAAAUAAGUGAGGCCGCGGGUGACAUUUUUAUAAAUAAAAGGAAAGUAAGUUGGACCAUUCUCUUUUAAUAUUAUUUUAUUUUUUUAANNNNNNNNNNNNNNNNNNNNNNNNNNNNNNNNNNNNNNNNNNNNNNNNNNNNNNNNNNNNNNNNNNNNNNNNNNNNNNNNNNNNNNNNNNNNNNNNNNNNUUGCAAAAUCACGACGACGGCGAUACUUGCAAACAACUUGAGUUAACUUAUAACUCAUGUAUGUACAUCAAUUUACAGAGAGAACCCGUUAAUUUUCAUGUUUUAACCAAAUUAACAUCUUUAUGGCAUUUAUACAAACACAUGAUAUACAAGCAUAUCAUCACUGUUUCACAUAAAUUUCAAUAGUAAUAUAAUAAAUUCUUUGUCCGGUUACGCCAUGCCACCAUAACCUCCAUACAAUAUUCUUUGUCCAAACAUAUAAACAUAUAACCUCCAUACAAUAUUUCAUCCGUAUAUCAUCUGAACCCUUCAUGGUUCCAUAAUCAAAACUCCCACAACCAAUUUUACAUCAAUAACAAAUAUAUUCCAUCCAAUUUCUAUAAAGUUAUUAUUGGUUGUAAAUAAUUAUUGGAUUGCAGCCAAUAUUAUUUUAUAUAUAGGCAUUGUAUCCUGUGGGUUAGAAUUUCCAAGUAUCCAUCUGAGGUGGGAAAAUUACUAUCCUAAAGAAAGUUUCCUGGAAACGCCUUGCUUUUUUGUAAACUUACUUUUUCUAAUUUUCUUUUCUUUUACUCCAUCUCCAUAAUUUCUUUUCUUUUACUCCAUCUCCAUAAUUUAACAACAACACGGAGAACAAGAAUUUCCCCCAAAAACCAAAACAAAAUAAAAAAACAAGCUACACGAUCACAAAAAAUUGCAAUUAUAAAUUAGAAUCACCAAGCUCAAGAUAUACAAAAUAGAGAUUUUAAAUAAUUAAUUAACAGAUUUUUUUGCAAUCCAACAGAGAAGCAUUAGUUACUCAAAUGCUAAUUCCUAUACACAUAAAAUAAAAGGAUAAAAAAUACCCAUCAAAAUCAAACAGAAAAGAGUAACACCCAGUUACCCAAAUCAAAAUUUGAACAACAUAAAUUAUAAAAUUGGAGUAAAACGUACCAAAAACGUCAGAGACAAGAAGAACAGCAAUCUGAGAAUCAGAGGAGCCAACAACGUAUGACUUAAGGCCUCCAAGCUCUUCCACAUGUCCUGCCCUAUAACUUGAGCUCAGGCUUGGUGAAUUUGCGCAGCAGUGGCUGGCUGGCCGCCCAACCGCCCCCGCGCCCCGCUAGAUAUGUCUGGACCGCCGCUGCUACCGGGAGAAGAUGCCCCCCGACCCCCUAGUUCUGCCUCUGUUAAGAUCGAUGUAUGCUUUAAAUCCUUCCUCAUACUAUGUAUGAAGCUGAGGUUUAAAAAAAAACAAACAAAACAAACAAGCCGAGUCAUUAGCAUUAAGCAUGAGGUGUUACUUGAUAAGCAAAUCUCAGGAUACUAAGAAAAACAAAGGAGGAGCUUAUUACUAUCUUAUAUAUGCCCUGCUCCUUUUCGACUCAAAAGACUUCCCUGACCAUUCCAUUUUCCAUUUCGUUUCAAAAGCAAGAAAGUAAGAUUUCAGCCCUGACCAUUCCCAUCUGUUCCAAAAAGAAAGAAAAUAAAGCAAUAAUCAAUUAUCGGCUCUAUCAUCUCCCCCGUCCCAAAACCAAUUCCAAGUAUAUUAGAAAAUAUUAAAGUUAAUAAUUGAAUUGGAAGGAGGGGGAAUUAAGAACCAAUUGUAGCAAGAGGAAAACAAUUUCAGUAAGAAGAAGCUAAGCUUUUUGCAUUGAUUAAGCUUCAUUGGAAGGUAUUAUAUAUUUCUCUAAGUAAUGCAUGAAAAUUUGUUAAUUAUACAUUGUUGAUGCCAUCUUUGGUUGUGGGAGGUUGUUUGAAUUGUGGAAUCAGGUGGAUUCAUGACUCAUAAGGAGAUGACAUGAUUGCAUGUUAAGAUACUAUAUAAAAUCUGACUUUUGUUACUAUAUAUGCAUACUACGUGUUCGAUAAAAGGCUUAAAUGAGACUAGUAUGCUAAAACUUGAAAAUUGGCUAACGUUUUGAGCAAAGAUGAUAUAUAUACACGAAUUAUGAGAUAAUUUAAGUAGUUUAUAUGUAUCAAAUCAAAUGCUAAAUGAGUUUUAGAGAAUUUUGAUCUAAUUGGAUUAACUAGAAAACUGUUCUGAACAGGCAUUUUGACCCUCUGGAAUAUUUCCCAUGAGAUUGUUGUGGCUCAGAUCCUAAUACAUGUUAUUAAAUCUAUUAACAUGUUGAACAAAGAGGUUGUGUUAUAGCAGAAAUCAUGGCUUAAGCAGUUAUACUAAAGUAGUUAAUUCAAGAUUGAAGGUGAGUGAUCGAGGAUAAAAAAAAAUGGCAUCAUAACACAUUAAUUGUUAGAGAGAGUUCAGUACAUUGUGGUCAACAUGGAGGAAAAUGUAAACGCGGGAAUAGCUCUAGUGAAGUCAUUGUUGCUCAUGUUCCUAGUAAAAAAAUAGUAAGCAACAAAAGUUUAUAGUUUGAAGAAAUUAAAUAGCAUCCCAUCCACAAGAGUGACCUAAUCAAAAUUAUCAUUAUGAAUCAUACUGUUUCCUUAGGUUGGCCAGCUUUGUGAUACUGUGAGGAAGUGAUCCUUGAAUAUUUCUAAAAGAAAGAUCCCUGAAGCAAGUAGUUAGUGGCAAAACAAAUUAAUUAUUGUUAGAAUUAGGAUCACACACACACAACAGUAGAGAAUUAACACAGAGAUUUACGUGGUUAUCCAAUUUGGGUACUCCAUAGGCGGCUUGUUGUUUUAUUGAUGAUUUCAGUUACAUAGGGUUUUACAAUAGAGAGUAUUUAUAACUACUAAUUUUAUUUCAAUCCUACUUCACAUUAUAGCUCAAAUACCCAUAAUGUCCUUUCAAAAAAUGACCCAUUAAAACUCAGUACGCCGACCGGUGCGCCUCUCGUCGCUUCUUGGCUUUCGCUGGCGCGCCCCGCACCAGUACUCCAGAACCUGCAUCUUGCGUAACGCGCCCCACGCUUCUCCAAGCGCGCCCUGCUCUACUGCUGCAGAAAUUCGGUACCGUUCGCUCCCGAGCGGAGCGAAGCAUAACGAAGCGACGCACUAGUCUUUUUCAGUAGCUUCUAAGUUAUGAGUCACAAGUCCCAACAAACUCCACCUUGAUGAAUAACCUCGCCCAUUCUGAAGAUAAGUCAAUUGUUCCAACCAAAAUCGGGGGGAAUCGUUCUUACUAGCAUUCAGAGACAUUAACCAAGUCCAAGCAAUGCUUGAACUAGUCCGCGGUCACAGUCUUUAUCAACAUAUCAGCUACAUUUUCAGAAGUGUGCACCUUUUCCAAUAUCACAUCACCCAUAUAUAACAAUCAACUCUCUCACUUUGUGAAACUUUACGUUAAUAUGCUUGGUCCUUGCAUGAUACAUCUGAUGCUUUGCCAAGUAAAUGGCACUCUGACUAUCAUAAUACAGCUGCACCCCACCUUGAUCUAUGCCCAACUCCUUCAUAAAACCCUUUAACCACAUUGCUUCUUUCCCAACCUCAGUCAAUGUCAUAUACUUAGAUUCAGUAGUUGAUAGAGCCACUAAAGAUUGUACCAUGGAUCUCCAACAAAUAAGUCCAUCUGCCAGUGUAAACACAUACUCUGUUGUAGACUUCAAGUCAUCCAACCUUACAGCAUAAUCUACAUCUACAUACCCCACAACUGAUAUCUUAUCUUGUUGCUUCGUAAACAUAAUCCUAUGAUUUGCAGUCCCUCUCAAGUAUCUGAAUACCCACUUAGCUGUUUUUCAGUGCUCUCUGCCUGGAUUUACCAUGUAUUUGCUCACUGUGCUGACUGCAUGUGCCAAAUAGGGUCUUGUACAUACCAUCGCAUACGUAUAUCAAACAACCAACUGUGCUCGCAUAAGGCACGUUCAACAUAUCUUGAAUAUCUUUGGUUGACUUCGAACACUGUGCUUUAGACAACCUGAAGUGACUCGCCAAUGAAGUGCUGACCUGUUUAGCAUUAGCUAUACUAAACCUCUCAAGCACUUUCUCCACAUAAUUUUUCUAUGACACCCACAGCUUUCCAGCUGUCCUAUCCUUGCGAAUCUCCAUCCCAAGUAUUUUCCUAGCAACACCUAAAUCCUUCAUGUCAAACUCUUUUCCCAAUAAGGUCUUCAACUUGUUAACUUCAACCAUAUUAUUCGCAACAAUAAGCAUAUCAUCCACAUACAGUAACAGAAAAAUAUAUGAACCAUCCUUAAGACUCUUAACAUAUACACAACAAUCAUACCCACACCGAGUGAACCCGAUUCGGAUCAUGAAGGAAUCAAACUUCUUGUACCAUUGUCUUGGAGAUUUUUUCAGCCCAUAUAGUGAUUUCUUCAACCUAUAAACCAUGUUCUCAGUCUCUGGCUGCUUAAACCCCUUAGGCUGCUCCAUGAAUAUAACUUCCUCCAAAUCACCAUGAAGGAAAUCUGUCUUCACAUCAAGUUGCUCUAACUCUAGAUCAUAGCUAACCACCAAUGCCAAGAUAAUCCUAAUUGAGGUAUGUCUCAUCACCGGAGAAAACACCUCAUCAUAGUUAAUCCCCUUCCUCUAUGAGUAUCCCUUUGCAAAUAAUCGAUCCUUGAACCUUUCCCUUUCUUUUUCUGAUACAACUUCUUUUUUCUUGUAUACCCCACUAGUUUUGAAUUUUCAGGCAAUUCUGACAAUUCUCAAGUCUUGUUCUUUUUCAAUGACUCCAUCUCUUCCACCAUGGCCUCCAUCCAUCUGUCCCUUUCAGGACUAACAAUAGCUUCCUGAAAAGUAGACGGAUCCCCACUAGUGGUAAAUAAUGCAUAUGCAACCAUAUCAUCAAACUUAUACCUCUCCGGUGGUUUGAUAGUGCAUCUUGGUCUCCUUGUUGCUAUGCUUUCCUCCUCCUGUUGCUGAUUAUUCUGUUCCACUAGCGGUAGAUGGCCAGUGUCACAGCUUUCCAGCUCAAUUUGUAUUCCCUGCUGUUGUUUGCUGGUGUCUUCCCCAGCCUCAAUUUUUUGAACUUCCUGAUGUGCCUUAACUAUGGAAGUUUCAUCAAAAACCACAUCCCUACUGAUCACAACCUUCUUUGAUUUUGGAUCCCAAAGCUUGUACCCCUUCACACAUUUCUUAUACCCAAGAAAGAUACACUGUUUGGACUUUGCAUCAAGCUUUGACCUCUCAUCAUCCGGAACGUGAACAUAGGCUGGACACCCAAAGAUCUUCAUACAUGAGUAAUCUACCUCUUUGUCUGUCCACACCUCCUGUGCCACCUUACUAUCCAGAGCAGUACUCAUCGACCUGUUUAUGAUGUAAACUACCAUACUCACUGCUUCUGCCCAAAAAUCCUUCGAAAGCCCUGCAUUCAACCUAAUGCACCGUGCUCGCUCUGCUAUAGUUCUGUUUAUUCUCUCUGCCACCCCCAUUCUGUUGUGGUGUCUUUCUAAUAGUCAAGUGACGCUGAAUCCCAUGCUUAUCAUAAAACUUCACAAAUGACAUAUUUGUUUCUACUUCAGCUUUCCACACCCUGAAUUUCUCAAAAACCUUAUACUCGUUUCGCAUGAAGUACACCCAAACUUUCUUCGAAUAAUCAUCGAUAAAGGUUAAGAAAUACAGCGAUCCCAUUUUUGAAGCUACCCUCACUGGCCCCCAAACAUCAGAAUGUACAUAGUCAAGUAUUCCCUUAGUUUUGUUCACUGCACGCUUAAACUGUACCUUACACUAUUUUCAUAAGACUCAAAACUUGCAGAAAUCUAGUUUGCACGAUUUCACCCCUUUCAAAAAAUUUCUUCUAUGUAAUUCCAGCAUCACACGUUCCCCCAUAUGCCCCAAUCACAUAUGCCAUAACGAAAUAUCAUCAAUAUAAUCAAUUGUAGUGUCUGCAGCCCCACAUACAACUAUACUCCCUAUCAACCAAUAGAUAUUCCCACUAACCUUAGAACCUUUCAUAUCACUAGUGCACCCUUCCCCACUCUCAUGGCUCCACCACCUGUUUUAUACUCACAGCUAUUAGAGUCUAGAGUUCCUAAUGAAAUUAGAUUCUUCUUUAAACUUGGAAUAUGUCUCACCUCAGAGUUAUCACAAGACCAUCAAGAAUCUUUAUCUUCAUUGUGCCUAUUCUAAUGACAUUGCAUGAAGCAUCAUUACCCAUUAGAACUAGUCACAGACCUGUAGGUGUCGAACCACUCCCUGUUAGGCGUCAUAUGAAAUGAACAUGUUGAAUUCAAAAUUCAUGAGUCUGCCAUUUCUGUGUUUGUUGAAACUGACAACAUAUCCCCAUCAUCUGAUGUCUCUUCCACAACGUUGCAGAUUUCUUUGAUUCUGUUUUCUUCCCUAUUCCCUCACCCUUAUUCCUGCACGAAUAGUCUUUCUUGAAGUGUUCUGUCUCGUGACACCUGAAACACUUAUACUCCUUUGGCUUAGGAGUCUUGCCCCUUAACUUCGAUUUCCCAUGCGCUCCACGUUGCUCUCCCCCUUUUACCACCAUCCCUUCACCCAAAAUACCCUCGGUUUGUUGCUUUCGCUGGUUAAACAUCAGUAGAGCAGAAGUGACUUCUUCCAAUUUCAGUCUCUUUUCCUCAUAGAAGGGUUGUAACAAUAUUCUUCAUGGAACCCGGUAGAGAACACAACAACAUCAUCGCCUAGUCUUCCUAUUUGAAUUUUACUUCAAUCCUUAGCAAAUCACUAAUUAUCUGAUUGAACAUAUGAAUAUGUUGAAUAAGUUCAGAACUUUCAAUCAUCUUCAACCCAAACAACUUCUGCUUCAAGAAUAGCUUAUUUGUCAAUGACUGACAUAUACUUGGAUUCCAGUUUACUCCAUACACCUGAUGGCGAUUCAUCACCAAUCACGUGAUACAUAACCUCUUCUGCAAGACACAAAUGAAUUGUACUCACCGCCUUCGCCUGGAGUUCAUCCCAGUCAUCAGUCGUCAUGGACUCUGAUUUCUUCUUCAACGCCUUCACCAAUCCCUGCUGUACCAACAUAUCCUUUACCCUAUGUUGCCAUAAUUCGAAAGUCCCUGUCCCAUCAAACUUCAUCACGUCAAACUUUGUAACUGACGUAUUUGAUGUCAUCAUUCUUUGCGUGCUCAAUCCAACCUAUCUUUGAUACCAAUUUGUUAGAAUUAGGAUCACACACGCACACAACAAUAGAGAAUUAACACAGAGAUUUACGCGGUUCCCCAAUUUGGGUACUCCACAGGAUGCUUGUUGUUUUAUUGAUGAUUUCAGUUUCAUAGGUUUUUACAAUAUAUAGUAUUUAUAACUACUAAUUCUAUUACAACCCUACUUCACAUCAUAGCUCAAAUACUCAUAAUGUCCUUCCAAAAUAUGACCCAUUAAAACUCAGUCCGUCGAUCGGCGCGCCCCACACCGCUUCUUGGCUUUCACUGGUGGAGCCUCAACCUAAUAAACCUUUUAGGUAAGGAGGUGGUCUAACAUGCUUAUUGGGUCAGUCUACAUAGGUGCACGCUGCAUUGGUGAUGAAUUGAUGUGGGAUGGAUCAUACAAUUCCGCUACAAAUGGUAUUAGAGCUCAUGGUUCGAUGGGCCAAAGUAUCAACUCCAGGGUGCGAGGGGAGUGCGAGGGUGCAUUCGUAGGCCUCGUGGGUGGAGCAAAUAGAGUCCAAGUAUCAACUCAAGGGUGCGAGGGGAGUACGAGGGUGAAUUCUCAGGCCUCGUGGGUGGAGCAAAUAGAGUUGAAUUUAGUAUAGCACGAGAUGAUUUGAGUCGGGUGGAGCGGGCUCAUGAUGGUCUUGGAAAAAUUGCUCAGGGUGGAGAGGUUCACAAGGAGCAAGGGAAUAUAGUUUGCUCAGGGUGAAGGGUUCACAAGUAGUAAGGUUGUAGUCCCACGUUUGCCUCUGGCAUGGUGGAGUAGUAUUAAAGUCGAGUAGAGUUUUUGAAGGAUUCAAAAGAAAGUGUGCUUAAUGGUGACUACUCUAGUAUAAUACUUGUGCUGGGUAUUCAACUGAAAUGUAGAGAUUGUUGGGAUAUUUCACAUGAAUCCCAUAUUGGAUAAAUUUAAGAGUGUAGAUGGGUUAAUAAGUAUGGUGAAGCCUCAACCUAAUAGGUUAACCUUUUAGGUAAAGAGGUGGUCUAACAUGCUUAUUGAGCCAGUCUACACAUAUGCGCGCUGCAUUAGUGAUAAAUUGAUGUGGGAUGAAUUGUACAAUUCCGCUACAAUUAUUAACAUUUACUCAUUUUCCAUUUCCAUAUAUCUUCAUAAUCUUCCUCUGAACAAUCAAACGUAUAUGUGGGGGAAGAACAAAGAAACAGAAUUACCCAACUAUAAUGAAGAGAAAGAAUUUACAAUUUAGUGAUGGCUAAGGAACAAUUACUGUACUCACAAAACAGACCAUCCCAGGGAAGGAGAAAGCAUGGGUCUCUAAACCAACUUUUUGUUAUCUUUGUUGUCCACAAAUAAUUGAUUCCUAACAUCAACAAUGACAUUUACUGAAGGAAAAGAUGGAUUAUUAAUUUAUACGUUAUGUUUUUUUUUUGAAAAGGGUAAAUAUUUAUGUUUGAAGUAAGAUACAAGUAUGCUCGUCUUUCCUAUUGAACAAAAUUAUAUGUGGAUGUUCAUGUAUGCAUUUACUCCCUCCGUCCCUAAUUAUUUGACGUUUUAGAGGUGGGUACAAAAAUUAAGAUAAUGAUUGAAAAGUAUUAAAUAUAGUACUCAAUUGUCUAUAUUACCCUUAAAUCUUUUGUUGGGAUAAGGAUAAUUUUGUUGGGAUAAGGAGAGAGGAAGUUUAAUGAAGGGUAAUUUUGGAAAAAUUGUCAUUAAUUCUUCUAGAUUUGAACAAACGUCAAAUAAUUAGGGACAAAUAAAAAACUCUAAAACGUCAAAUUAAUAAUUAGGGACGGAGGGAGUAUUUAAUAAUUUUGUAUUUUUUAUAUCCGUAUAGCUUCCUUCAGAUAUUUGGAUUAAUUACUAACUAGAAAUAAUUCAUGUGAACUUACCUAGAACCCAUUGGCAAACCUGUAAAAAUCUCAAAAGCAUUACAAACGGGUCCCAACUGGGAGCCAUUGGUGGUCUUUAUCAUUGUCAAAUUUAGAGUUCCGUUUACUACAAAGUUCAAAACAACUGUUUUGUGUCUGUAAACAACAUGAAAGGAAUUUAAGGGUAUUAAAUGACCUAUAUAUGGGAUAUUAGGUUCAAAUUGGUAGUGAAUCAAAGAUGAGAAAUUUAUACUAAAUAAGGUAUAAAAAGAAUUGAAAUGUGAUUAAUAUAUUCUCUAAUCUAUACAAGGUUUGAAGUACAUUGAGCAUAACACGGAUUAUGAUUAGAAAUAUAAUCUAGAAUGAAUUGAAAUCUCAAACGAGAUUAAUAAAUACGUUUUAACCUAAUUGUAUGUAUAUAUAGGUUAUGUAACAAAUAUACAUAAGUUAUCAACAAUUGAGGUUAUACGUGUAGCGCCGUUAAAUCCGGGUCUUUUGAACCUCGGAACUGGUGCGUCACUGGUACGUCAUGAUACAUUAUCUUUAUACAUGUUCUAUAAACUAAUGCGAAAUUAUAAACUUAAAUUGUUUACUUCAAAUGAUUCUAAAAUAUUUCUCAAGGUCUACAACCUUUAUUUGAAUACAUACAUUUAAUAAGUCGCAAGGUUUACAUCGUCAAUUUAAGUACGUUAUCAUAGUAGAUAAAUAUUCAUAUAAAACUAAUCUCCAAUUUUGCCUUUGCCGUUGUUCUUUUCUGAGCAUUCGGGUUAAACUAAAAUAUGACCAUGAUAUAGUAAGGGUGAGCAAUUACUUUGCUCAGCCAGUUUAAAUACAAUAAAGAUAUAUAAUGAUUGAAAGAAAGAAUAAGCUUUCGAAUUUUCAACAAUAUAAUGAUUGUAAAAGAGCAUGAAUCAAAUUUCAAUACAUGAAUAAUUAACUUAAUAAAGCUGAGUGGUUAACAAUAACCAUGAACAAAUACUUUGGUAAUGAAGAUGAUCAGUCUUUCAUACCUGAUAAACAUAUGCAAUGUACACUAAGUGCGAAUCAAUAAUCAAAUAUGUGGAAUAAUAAUAAAUAAUUAAACCACUAGCAUUCUUGAAACAUAAUAACUCGAGUUUGAGUUAGGAAACUUGCCUUGACCGUCGAUUAUCGCUAAGUAGUCUGAUUUAAUCUUUUAUGAAAGACCUAUCAUUUAAAAGAUUGAUUUUUCAAUCAGCAUAACAUAACAUGCCUUAUAAUACUACUACUUUAAUAAAUUAGCUAACAUUGAGCCACAUAAUCAAUAAUUCAUUAUCUCAUUAUCAUUACUAUCAACCAAUCAUCAUCUUAAAACUUUUGUUUAAUAUUAUUAAUCACUUAAUAAUAUUUCAUUCACUUCUUAAUAAUCACUUUAUAAUAUCUUAAUCUUUUACAAGUAUUAUUAACAUUUUAAUAAUAUUUUAUUCAUUUACAAAUAUUAUUAAUCAUUUAAUAAUAUUUUAAUCAUUUAAUAAUAUUCAACUCACUUCUUAAUAUUAUUAAUCAUUUAAUAAUAUUCCACUCAUUAUCUAAUAUUAUUAGUCAUUUAAUAAUAUUUUAAUUUAACAUUAAUAUAAUAUUAUUAAUCGUUUAAUAAUAUUCCACUCAUUAUCUAAUAUUAUUAAUCAUUUAAUAAUAUUCUACUCAUUAUCUAAUAAUAUUAAUCAUUUAAUAAUAUUUUAAUUUAACAUUAAUUUAAUAUUAUUAAUAUUUUAAUUUAACAUCAAUCUAAUAUUAUUAAUUAUUUAAUAAUAUUUUAAUUUAACUUUAAUAUAAUAUUAUUAAUCAUUUAAUUAUAUUUUAAUUCUAAAUAUUAUUAAUUACUUAAUAAUAUUAUAAUAUAAUAUUAUUAAUCCUUUAAUAAUAUUUUAAUCAUUUAUUAAACUCAUAAACAAUUAAUUUUAAUUGUUUACCUUUUACUAAUUCAUUUAUUUAAUAAACCUAAAAUGUAUUAAAUAUAACAUCUCAUCAAAAAUAACCAAAAUAACCUCCAUAAAUCUGAUUACAUCAUCUUUAGGGUCUUUUGUCAAAAAAAAUUACAUUUUUACCCUUUAUAACAUCACUUAACUUAUUUUAUCCAUUUAUUCAUAACUCAAUCAUUCAAAUGAAAAAUACAAAAAUAAUUCCAAAAAUUCUAAUUUUCUGUGAAACAUCAGUUAAUAUUAUCCUUAUGAACAUAUAAUUUUUCUAAAAUUUUUCAGUUUCGUUUAUUAUGCUUAAAAUGGCCAAAACAGUUGGAUCUUGAAAUAAUUUUCAUGAACUGAGUUUUUUCCAACAAUUUCAAAACUUUCAGGGGAUGUUCCUGUUAUGUAUAUACACUUUCAGUAAAAAUUUCUAAAUUUUUGGUGUUACACACAGAGUCAUUCACGUUUACUUUUAAAGUAGUCAUUUCUUAUAAACUCCAUAACUCUCAUUUUACACAUCCAAAUAUCACCAUCUUUGAAUUGGAUCUAGCUAACUUGAUAUUCAUACCACAAAAUGCCAGAAUUUUUAGAACAUCAAAAGUAGCAGAAACAACCUUCACCAAAAAUGGCCAGGAACUCAUUUGAUUUUUUCCCAAAUUUUUUAUCGGCAGCGGGUGUUUUACAAAAAAUGAUACCACGGUUGAUCCGUUUAACAUUUUGAGUGCUACCACUAAUCUAACUCACCUAUUUGACAGAUGUCAAAAAUAAGUUCCAGAUUUCAAAUGGUGAAGCUUCAAAGUAGACUGAUUUUUAGGGUUUUUUGAGCAAGAAAACUGUUUUGGUUUUCUUUUGAUUUCCAAGCUUUUCAACACUUAUAAUGGUAAGAUCUAAACAUGAAACAUCAUAAAACAUGUAGAUCUAAGGUUCUAGGAUUCAAGACCACAAAUCAUGAUUUGGUUCAACACAACCAAAAUAAUAUACAUAAACUUAAUUAUGAUUUAUACUUUGAUUUCUUUUGGGUUUUUCUUCUUCUUCUUCAACAAAGUAAUUUGAUGAAAUAUGGAAGAAAACUUUCUCCUUUCCUCAUUCUCUUGAUGGGGUGGCAGCUCCUCAUGGUUCUCUCUCUAAUAUUUUCUCUUUCUAUCUUUAGUUUUUCUUUUGCUAGCUUUCUUAAUUUACUUAAGAAAAAGAAAGAAAACUUUUCUUGCAAAAUAAAAGAAAGCAAUUUAUAGUACUUGGGAAAUUAUAUACAUAUAGUUUCUAUAUCUAUACAUAAUCUCCCAACUUCUCUCUCAUAUAUCUCAUUUUCUCUCACCUCUUUGCUUGCAAAUCUAUACAAAUGUUAAGACUAAAUGAAAUUGUGGCACAUAAGAACAUAAGAGAUUUGAAAGGAUUUUGCCCAUGUGAUUAAUUCCCCAUUAAAGGGGCCGAAUUCAUCUCCCCCAAAAUAGCCCCUUUUUGAUUUAUUUUUAUUGUUUAAUUUGCUUAGAAAAAUGACUAAAAAGUCCCUUAACAAAUGGGCUAAAAAUUAGGCCACUUAAUUUAAUGUUUGGGGUUUUAAAAUAGUUAGUUUGGGCCAUGUAAAAUAGCAUGGUCGAGUACCUAAAUUUUAUCUCACCCUAAUUAUUUAAUUAGGGUUUCUAUUCCACUCAUUUUAAAAUUUAGAUAAUUACUCAUGCACAUUUAAUUUUUAUAACCCCAUUAAACUUGAUUUGAUUAAGUUAUAAAAAUUAAUCAGUUGAGAGGUAUAAAAUAAAUCUCUUAGGUAAAUUUACUAGUAUGUAAUUUAAAUACUAAUUAUAAAAAUCUCAAAUAAUAAUAACCCUUAGGUUAAUUAAUUCUUAUACCUAAUAUAUUAAAAUUAGGUUAUAAGGCUUCCAAUUUGUAGGAAUUCAAGACCAAGGGCAAAAUGGUCUUUAACCAUUACUAAGGAAGGGCAAGAUGGUCUUUAAGUUAUCUUAAGGAAAUUUCCUCAUAGGACAUAUUGGUCAUAAUCAAUUUUCUUUAAGGACAAAAUUGUCGUCUAACUAUAAUUAGGAAAUUUCCUUCAAGGAUGCCAUGGUCAUUACCAAAUUUCUCUUUGGGAAAAAUAGUCAUUUCCCCAUUACUAGAAAACUUCCUUGCAAUUUCCUUCCUAGGGCACAAAAGUCAUUAACAAUUUUCUUUUGAGAAAAAUAGUCAUUUCUCCACUUUUAGGAAAUUUCCUAACCAUCAUCACCAAUUAUCACACCCUAGUGGGGCCCGCCAUCCUUAACUUCUCCUAAUUUAAUAUUUUUGGGUUCUAUUAAAUUAUCAUUUAAGGCAUAUUCUUAGCAUAUUCUUGAAAUAUUCUUUAUUACUUAGCAUAUUUCUUAAGAUAUUUUCUUAAGUUUCAAUCUUAGGCUUCCUAACUCACACAAUUUUCCCUUAACUUUCAUAAUUCACUUCCAUAUUUUAUUAAUUUAGUAAAAUAUCCAUUUUGCCCUUUCGUACAAUUGAUUAUGGUUUAAUUCCUGAGCUAUGUCGGUAACCCGAUUUCUUUUUUAUUUCUCUUGAUAUAAUAAAUAAAUAUAUACACAUAUUUAUAAUAUAUAUAUAUAUAUAUAUAUCAAUUAAAUCACAUACAUAUUCUUCAUAAGUCACAAAGUAUCAUGGAUAAAUAAUUAAUGUGGCCUAAUAUUCUUAUUUGAUUAAUUUAAUUAAUCAUUUCUCUUGCUAAAAAAUAUAUAGCACAUCACUAAAUAUAUAUGUACAUCACAUAUACACAUUCACUUUAUCCUUAUAAUAUCUCUUCAUUAAAAUUUAUUUCCUUAAUAAAUUUCUCACACAUAUCACUAUAAAAAUUUCUUACAUAAUCUCUUUCAUCGAUUAAUUCAUUUAAAUUUAAAGGUACAAUAAUACCUUAUUCUUAAUAUACCUUUAAGAACACAUAUAAAUUCAUUCUAGGAUUUUGAAUUUUCAUAACCCAUAUUUUCUCAUUUCUUUCAUUCACAUUUAAUUUCUUUGCAUUGCUUAAAAAUUUCAAACCAUAUAGGUUUUUCUCAAUUUUUUUAAUUAUUCCUCUAUUUCAAGUUUAGGUUUUAUUCUUUAACCUUUAAUUUAAUCGUUCAAGAUCUUAUAAAUUUUUGGGUUGUCACAAUACGUCGGACGUUUGAUGAACGUAUAACAAUGAACGCAUAUUGAGGCAAGUCUUUUAGUUCCUUCGUGUUUUGUGAUCUUAAUAUGAAAUUUUCACAAGUAUGCUGAAUUACGUUCUAUGCUCAUUGAAUUGUGAAAGUCAAUUUAUGACUAAAAAUAAUUGAGUUUUGGAACUUAGUCUUGACGUGAUAUGUGAUAUGCUAAAUAUAUAAAUCAUAUUGCUUAAAGUUAUGAUGCAUACCUAAUAUAAGUAUGAACUGAGCAUGAAAUUAUGUGUUAUGUGAUGCAUGAAAACUAUUAGAUUUGUUAGGACGUCGAGCUCAGUCUUGCAAAAAUAUAAUUUUUGCAGGUAUGAUAUGCAACACAAUUUCUUGUUGUUCAGAUGAUAAAGAUUAAAGGUAUAUGCGCGGGAAAAUUAUCUUUUUUAGUUAAAAACUGUAUUACAUUUUAUUGACAGUUUGUGGUGUGUAUUAAAUGC